UGGGGAAUAUUGCACAAUGGGCGCAAGCCUGAUGCAGCCAUGCCGCGUGUGUGAAGAAGGCCUUCGGGUUGUAAAGCACUUUCAGCGGGGAGGAAGGCGAUAAGGUUAAUAACCUCAUCGAUUGACGUUACCCGCAGAAGAAGCACCGGCUAACUCCGUGCCAGCAGCCGCGGUAAUACGGAGGGUGCAAGCGUUAAUCGGAAUUACUGGGCGUAAAGCGCACGCAGGCGGUCUGUCAAGUCGGAUGUGAAAUCCCCGGGCUCAACCUGGGAACUGCAUUCGAAACUGGCAGGCUAGAGUCUUGUAGAGGGGGGUAGAAUUCCAGGUGUAGCGAUGAAAUGCGUAGAGAUCUGGAGGAAUACCGGUGGCGAAGGCGGCCCCCUGGACAAAGACUGACGCUCAGGUGCGAAAGCGUGGGGAGCAAACAGG
rnacentral:rRNA from 1 species